GACGAACGCUGGCGGCGUGCUUAACACAUGCAAGUCGAGCGGAAAGGCCCGGAGUUUGCGGGGUGCUCGAGAGGCGAACGGGUGAGUAAAACGCGAGUAAACCGCCCUUGACUGUGGGAUAAAUUCAGGAAACAGGGGCGAAUACCGGAGAGGAGCUCCUGAAGCGCGGGGGGGGAAGGAGAGAUACGGCGGUGGGUGCUGGACUCGCGGCUUAUGAGCUGGUUGGGGGGGUAGGGGCUUACAACGGCUUUGACGGGUAGGCGGCCUGGGAGGGUGGACGGCCACCUGGGUCCUGCGGUACGGCCCAGUCUCCUACCUGACGCAGCAGUGGGGAGUCUUGCGCAAUGGGCGGACGCCUGUUACAGCAACGCCGCGUGCGUGAUGCCGGCCUUCUGGUGGUAAACCGCUUUCGCCUUUGCCGAAGCGUGAGUGACGGUACUUGGUCAGGAAGCACCGGCUAACUACGUG
rnacentral:rRNA from 1 species